rnacentral:rRNA from 1 species
UACAGAGGGUGCAAGCGUUAAUCGGAAUUACUGGGCGUAAAGCGUGCGUAGACGGUUAUGUAAGUCGGGUGUGAAAGUCGGGGGCUCAACCCUCGGAUGCCGGUGGAUACUGUCGGGCUUGAGUACGGAAGAGGCGAGUGGAAUUCCUGGUGUAGCGGUGAAAUGCGCAGAUAUCAGGAGGAACACCGAUGGCGAAGGCAGCUCGCUGGGACGGUACUGACGCUGAGACGCGAAAGCGUGGGGAGCAAACAGG